rnacentral:lncRNA from 1 species
GGGCUCGGGUGCGGUGCGGGCGCUGCCGGGGCUUCUCAUUCAGGUAAAGUCAACCACGCGAGUCCUGGAGGGGAACAGUGGACCCAAGUGUCCGGGAGGGGUGUGAUGCUUUUAGCCCCCUUCUAUGGGUUCUGUGCGUUGCAACGGGGUGGGCGCCGUGUCCUGUAAUGGUGACCAUUUGGACAUUGGGAGCCUCAGGUGGUUUAAAGCCGACCGGAGAGGGGGGACCCUAGAUUAUUAGGCAGAUCGCCACCACAUGGCCAUCCAGGACCUAACCAGAGGAACUUGUGCGCAUUUUAGUCUCCUAGAUGCCUUAGGGGACCCUUCCCCAGAGUUGGCUUGAAGACCUGGGAAUGGGUUUCUUGCAGUGGGGUGGAGUGGGCGGAUGGUACGGAAACGGUGUUGGAGGGAGGAACGGAUGUCCCCCACUCCCCGGACCUACUGACAAUAGCAGCGGAUGGAACCGCCCAGCGGUUUUUCCUGUAGGAAACUGCCCUGUCUUUUCUAAGCGGACUUGGUUCUGUAUGUUUGGGGAGGUGUGUGUGUGUGUGUGUGUGUGUGAUGAUUCAAGGACCCCUUGUCCUGCCAUCAUCUAGCUCUUUCCCCCAUCCUGCGUUUGAGAAUCCUAUCCCAACAUGAAGGGCUCCCACCUAGAGCCUUAUCAGUAAGACAUAACUUCUUCAGGACCUCGGGUAUGCAUGCUCUGUGUCCUGUCCUUCAGGUUUCCUGAUGACAGCUCUCCUGAUCACAGCUCUCUAGACUGAUCGCAGCUCUGUGUCCCGAAAUAGUCCCAGGGCUGGGUGUGGGGGCGUGUGGCUUCAGCUCUGACAGCCUAAUGAGGGGGUCUCAGGCAGGGGAUCCGGAUUUAACUUUGAUAGCCAGGCAGUGUGGGAGAUAUGAGGGCAGCUACACGCCCUACUCCGGGAGGCAUUGGCUUGUGUAGCAGUCUAAUGUUGGCUUGCCCCACCACACUCCUUACUCCCAAGGCUGGAACUGACAGCUGUGAGCUGGGAGGGUGAUAUGUGGCCUGGGUUCCCUGCAGUUUCUAGGGGAGCAAAAGGGAAUCUUUCCAAAAGCGCCUAUUAUCCUAGUUACCUGAGAGGUCCAGGUAGGAUGAUUAAAAGUUGAAGGCGCCGGGCGUGGUGGCGCAUGCCUUUAAUCCCAGCACAGGCAGAGGCAGGCAGAUUUCUGAGUUCGAGGGCAGCCUGGUCUACAAAGUGAGUUCCAGGACAGCCAGGGCUAUAAAGAGAAACGCUGUCUCGAAGAAAAAAAAAAAAAAAAGAAAAGAAAGUUGAAGGCCUGCCUGAGAGCUGCAGAGUGAGUUCAACGCCUGUUUAAACAAUUGAGUAAAGGGGUCAGUGAGAUGGAUUGGCCAGUAAAGGUACUUGAUCAGGGAAUGACAUCCUUGUUGCAUCCCUGGGAUUUACUCGUGUAAGGAGAGAACUGACUCUAUAGAGCUGCCCUCUGCCCUCCACUCUCACCCCAUGGCAUCCUUGCACCCACCCACCCUUCCACCUCCUACAUAAAAUAAAUAAAAUGUAAAAAAAAAAAAUUAAAAAGGGGUUAGUGGUGUAGCUUAAAACUCACCUAGCUUCUGUCAGUGGGGCUGAGG